AAAAGCCGUGUUUGUGGUUGAAAGUCGAUGCCAGUCGCAGGCAAAACGAUCCACGUAAGCGGGGCAAAGCCCCCGUGAGCAUGGUGCGGCUUAGAAGUAAGUCCGGCCGGGAAACCGAGAGAGGCAGUAGUGGGGAGCAUUUCGCUUAGGAGCGAACCCUCCAGCCGGCGAGUGUGGGGUCAAAGACCAGGUCAGGCGGCUAUG
rnacentral:ncRNA from 1 species